AUUGAACGCUGGCGGCAUGCUUUACACAUGCAAGUCGAACGGCAGCACGGGUGCUUGCACCUGGUGGCGAGUGGCGGACGGGUGAGUAAUGCAUCGGAACGUGUCCUGAAGUGGGGGAUAACGCAUCGAAAGAUGUGCUAAUACCGCAUAUUCUCUGAGGAGAAAAGUAGGGGAUCGAAAGACCUUAUGCUUUUGGGAGCGGCCGAUGUCUGAUUAGCUAGUUGGUAAGGUAAUGGCUUACCAAGGCAACGAUCAGUAGUUGGUCUGAGAGGACGGCC
rnacentral:rRNA from 1 species